rnacentral:rRNA from 1 species
UGAAUGUCCUAGGGGGUAUUGCACUUACCGAAGACUAUCAAACUCCGAAUGCCGUAUUCUUUUGCUUGGGAGUCAGACUAUGGGUGAUAAGAUUCAUAGUCAAGAGGGCAACAGCCCAGAUCGUCAGCUAAGGUCCCUAAAUGUAAGUUAAGUGGUAAAGGAUGUGGAAUUGCACAGACAACCAGGAUGUUGGCUUAGAAGCAGCCACUCAUUUAAAGAGUGCGUAAUAGCUCACUGGUCGAGUGAUUCUGCGCCGAAAAUUUCCGGGGCUAAAACUUACUACCGAAGCUACGGCAUCAUUAUGAUGGGUAGGGGAGCUUUCUAUGUGGCUUGAAGCAUGACCGUAAGGACAUGUGGACUGCAUAGAAGUGAGAAUGUUGGCAUGAGUAGCGAGAUGUGGGUGAGAAUCCCACAGGCCGUAAACCCAAGGUUUCCAGGGGAAGGUUCGUCCGCCCUGGGUUAGUCAGGACCUAAGCCGAGGCCGAAAGGCGUAGGUGAUGGACAACAGGUUGAUAUUCCUGUACCACCAAUAACCGUUUGAGAAAUGGGAUGACACAGUAGGAUAAGCUAACCGCACUGUUGGUUAUGUGCGGGCAAGUAUUGAGGCAGUUCCGAUAGGCAAAUCCGUCGGAAUAAUGCUGGGGUACGAUGCGGAGCGAAAUUUAGUAGCGAAGUAGCUGAUUUCACACUGUCGAGAAAAGUCUCUAUCGAGGUUAAAGGUGCCUGUACCGCAAACCGACACAGGUGGGUGAGGAGAGUAUCCUAAGGCCAGCGAGAGAACUGUUGUUAAGGAACUCGGCAAAAUGACCCCGUAACUUAGGGAGAAGGGGUGCCUUCGAAAGAAGGCCGCAGAGAAUAGGCCCAAGCGACUGUUUACCAAAAACAUAGGUUUCUGCUAAGUCGCAAGACGAUGUAUAGGAGCUGACGCCUGCCCGGUGCUGGAAGGUUAAGGGGAUCUGUUAGAGCAAUCGAAGCAGUGAACUUAAGCCCCAGUAAACGGCGGCCGUAACUAUAACGGUCCUAAGGUAGCGAAAUUCCUUGUCGGGUAAGUUCCGACCCGCACGAAAGGCGUAACGAUUUGGGCACUGUCUCAACAACAGACUCGGUGAAAUUGUAAUACCGGUGAAGAUGCCGGUUACCUGCGACAGGACGGAAAGACCCCAUGGAGCUUUACUGUAGCUUGACAUUGAGUCUCGGUGCUACAUGUACAGGAUAGGUGGGAGACUAUGAAGCAUGGACGUCAGUCUGUGUGGAGUCAUCCUUGGGAUACCACCCUUGUAGUACUGGGAUUCUAACCAGAGGCCAUGAAUCUGGUCUUGGGACACUGUCAGGUGGACAGUUUGACUGGGGCGGUCGCCUCCCAAAAAGUAACGGAGGCGCUCAAAGGUUCUCUCAGUACGGUCGGAAAUCGUACGAAGAGUGUAAAGGCAAAAGAGAGCUUGAUUGCAAGACAUACAGGUCGAGCAAGGACGAAAGUCGGACUUAGUGAUCCGGUGGUUCCGCAUGGAAGGGCCAUCGCUCAACGGAUAAAAGCUACCCUGGGGAUAACAGGCUGAUCUCCCCCAAGAGUCCACAUCGACGGGGAGGUUUGGCACCUCGAUGUCGGCUCAUCACAUCCUGGGGCUGUAUUCGGUCCCAAGGGUUCGGCUGUUCGCCGAUUAAAGUGGUACGCGAGCUGGGUUCAGAACGUCGUGAGACAGUUCGGUCCCUAUCCGUCGCAGGCGUAGGAAAUUUGAGGAGACCUGUCCUUAGUACGAGAGGACCGGGAUGGACGUACCGCUGGUGUACCAGUUGUUCUGCCAAGGGCAUGGCUGGGUAGCUAAGUACGGAAAGGAUAAGCGCUGAAAGCAUCUAAGCGCGAAGCCCACUUCAAGAUAAGAUUUCCCACCGCAAGGUUAAGAUCCCAGGAAGACUACCUGGUUGAUAGGUCAGAGGUGUAAGUGCAGUAAUGUAUUUAGCUUACUGAUACUAAUAGAUCGAGGACUUGACCAA